rnacentral:lncRNA from 1 species
CUAUAUUUAAGGCUUAGAUGACAGCAAAUUUAGCGCGAAAUUACUGGCUGCUAUGUGAGAGAUGUCGCAGCAGCAACCACCUCAACAGCCAUGUGGCAGGCCGGGAACAUCUUCAAUUAUAGAACAAUUUCGCAAGCUACACCCACCUGUGUUUGAAGGUGGCCCCGAUCCACUGGCUACUGAAGAAUGGCUUCGCCAUCUCGAGCGUAUCUUUAGAUUUAUGGAAUGCACUGAUGCACAAAAAAUCCUUUGUGCAGUAUUUAUGAUGGAAAAGGGAGCAAGCCAUUGGUGGGAGAUGACUACUAGAUCCCGCACCGAAGAACAACAGUGUAACCUUACAUGGGCACAGUUCAAAGAGAUAGUACUUCAAAAGUACUUCCCAGUCACCUUAAGAGACAAGAAGGAAGCAGAGUUUCUUGAACUGAAGCAGGGAAACAUGACGCUCACCGAUUAUGAGUGAAAAUUUGAGGAGUUGUCUAGAUUUGCCCCGCAUUUGGUGGACACGGAGGAGAGACAUGCUCGGCGCUUUGGGCGUGGACUGAGAAUCGACAUUAGAAAAGCGGUGGCAGUAUUCCAAUUAAGUACUUAUCAGGGAGUUCUGGAGAAAGCUCAGGUAUACACAUUUGGUGAUGACCAGACUCGUGAAAGUAGUAAGCAACAGACAAGUUCCUUAGACAAACACAAGUGGUACGACAAUAACAAGAGGAAUGGAAAAGGUCCCAACAAGAAGGGAAGGACGGAAAUAGAGGCCUAUAUCCGUGACAAGAAUCCACGACUUCUUUGUCCUAAAUGUUAGAAACCUCAAAAGGGAGAAUGCUUGGCAGGAAAAUGUGUCAGUUACAAAUGUGGCAAGCAAGGACACGUCGCAAAAGACUGCACUGAGGGACAACCUAAGGACUAAAGAUCAAAAGGUGGGCAAGGCAAGGGUUUUUGCUUUAACACAGGAAGAGGCAGAGCUCGACUACAAUGUAGUGGCAGGUAUCAUAUCAAUCUCUGACACCCCUGCUCUUAUAUUAAUUGAUUCAAGAGCUACACACUCGUUUAUUUCUUCGAUAUUCAUUUUAAAGUCAAAUAUAGAAUGUGUACCCCUUGAUAGCAUAUUAGAAGUAUCAUUACCAUAUGGAAAAGGGCUCAAUACAAAUUAUAUAGCGAGGAACCUAAAUCUAGAAACGGAUGAGAAGAUUAUAAGAACAGACUUAGUGGUUCUAGAUAUGAAAGAUUUUGAUGUUAUACUUGGGAUGGACUGGUUGUCAAAAAUUCAUGCAACCAUUCGUUGUUUCGAGAAGGAUGUAAUUUUUCAACGACCUGGUGAAGAAGAAUUUCAUUUCUUUGGAACAAGGGUAAAACCUCUACCCAGACUUAUAUCAGCAGUACAAGCUAUACGCUUGUUGAAAAAGAAGUCAGCUCAAGGAUUCUUAGUGUCAUUGACCAGCACUGAUAAGAAAGAGUUAACCAUUGACGAAGUCCCAGUGGUUAAGAAUUUUUCAGAUGUAUUUCCCGAAAAUAUACUAGGAAUGCCUCCAAAUCGAGAGGUAGAGUUCACUAUUGACCUUGUACCGGGUGCCACGCCAAUUUCAAAGGCCCCAUAUCGUAUGGCACCAGUAAAACUUCAAGAAUUGAAAGUAUAAUUGCAAGAGUUACUAGACAGGGGUUUUAUUAGACCCAGUGUCUCACCAUAGGGAGCUCCAAUAUUGUUCGUGAAGAAGAAUGAUGGAUCGAUGAGAAUGUGUAUCGAUUAUCGAGAGCUGAACCGUAUUACAAUUAAAAAUAAAUAUCCCUUUCCUAGAAUUGAAGAUUUAUUUGACCAGCUACAAGGUGCCAAGGUCUUCUCCAAAAUUGAUUUAAAAUCAGGCUAUCAUCAAUUGAAAAUUAAAUCAACUGAUGUUCCUAAGACAGCAUUUAGGACUUGAUAUAGAUACUAUGAGUUCUUUGUGAUGCCUUUUGGCUUAACAAAUGCGCCAGCAAUCUUCAUGGAUCUCAUGAAUCUAAUUUUCCACAACUAUCUGGAUCAGUUUGUUAUCGUUUUCAUUGAUGACAUACUAAUAUAUUCAAAGAGUGAGCAUGAACAUACAGAACACCUAAGGAUUAUUCUCAAAAUAUUGAGGAAGGAAAAGCUCUCUGCUAAAUUCAAAAAGUGUGAAUUUUGGCUCAAUAGAGUGGGAUUUUCAGGCCACAUAAUUACAGCCCAAGGAAUUGAAGUUAACCCGAGUAAAGUAAGCAAUUACCAAUUGGCCUCAACCAACAAAUGUUAGAGAAGUGCGCAGCUUCUUAGGAUUAGCAGGUUACUAUAGGCAAUUUAUUGAAAGAUUUUCAAAGAUUGCCAUCCCAAUGACUCAGCUAACAAGGAAAAACGUGAAGUUUCAAUGGACGGAUAUAUGAAAAAGAGCUUUUAGGAACUAAAAUAGAAAUUGAUUUUAGCUCCAGUUUUGACCAUACCGAAAUGGUCAAAAGGCUUCAUUAUCUAUAGCGAUGCAUCUAAGCAGGGUCUAGGAUGUGUACUUAUGUAGCAUGGUAAAGUUAUCGCAUAUGCUUCUAGACAACUUAAGUUGUAUGAAGAAAACUAUCCGACACAUGACUUGGAGUUAGCAACAGUAGUUCAUGCACUGAAGAUAUGUAGACACUAUCUCUAUAGAGCUAAAUGUGAUAUUUACACGGACCACAAGAGCCUAAAGUAUUUCUUCACCCAAGAAGAAUUGAACACAAGACAACGCAGAUGACUAGAAUUGGUGAAAGAUUAUGAUUGUGCUAUUCAUUAUCAUCCAGGAAAGGCUAAUGUAGUUGCUGAUGCAUUAAGUAGAAAGACAGUAGGACAUUUGGCAGCUUUGCCUACUACACAGAAAUCAUUAAUCAAAGAUAUCAAUAACUUACAACUUGAGGUGAUCUUACCUCUAGCAGAUAUUGUAGCACGAAUUGCCAUCCUCACAGUUCAACCAACUAUUCAAGACAGAAUUAAGAAAGCUCAGGAUAGUGAUCCAUUUCUACAAAAGAUUAAAGAUGAAGUUGGCAUUGGUAAACAAAAAGGUUUUUGAAUUGGCUGAAGAUAACGCAUUGAUGUUUCAAGGAAGAUUGUGUGUACCAAAGGAUAAGGAGAUACGAAAAGAAAUAUUAGAAGAAGCUCACUUCGCCCCAUAUGCAGCACGUCCUAGGGGAACAAAGAUGUAUAAAGACCUUCAAAGCUCAUUCUGGUGGCGAAAUAUGAAAAGAGAAAUAGGUCUAUUUGUAGAGAAGUGCAUGGUUUGUCAGCAAAUGAAAACAAAACAUCAAAGACCAUCAAGAUUAUUAAACCUACUAGAUAUUCCUGAAUGGAAAUAGGAGCACGUUGCUAUAAAUUUUGUAAUUGGUUUUCCAAAAUCAAAUAGAGGAAAUGAUGCAAUCUGGGUUAUUAUUGAUAGAUUGACAAAGUCAGCUCACUUCUUACCAGUAAAAAUGACCUUUAAUAUGUAUCAAUUAGCUCAGCUAUAUGUUAAAGAAGUGAUCAAAUUACAUGGGACCCCAGUCUCAAUUGUGUCAGACAGAGAUCCAAGAUUCACUUCAAAAUUUUGGAAAGGUAUGUACAAGGCAAUGGGGACUAAGCUAAACUUCAGUACAGCUUUUCUCCCACAGUCAGAUGGUCAAUCAGAGAGGACUAUUCAAAUUCUUGAAGACGUGCUUCGAGCAUGUGUCCUAGAUCUUGGAGGAACUUGGGAAAAACAUCUACCAUUAGUAGAAUUUGCCUAUAAUAAUAGCUAUCAAACUACUAUAAGAAUGGCUUCUCACGAGGCUUUAUUUGGUAGGAUGUGCAGAUCCCCAGCUCAUUGGGAUGAAGUUGGUGAGCGAAGAAUUCUAGGGCCUGAGAUUAUUGAGCGAACAGUCCAAGCUAUUGAAAAGAUUCGUGCUAGAAUAAAGACUGCCCAAGAUCGACAGAAAAGUUAUGCAGAUAACAGAAGGAAGGAUCUUGAGUUUGAGGCUGGUGACAAAGUUUUCCGAAAAAUAGCUCCUAUGAAAGGAGUUAUUCGAUUUGGCAAAAGGAAAAAGCUUCAACCAAGAUACAUAGGACCUUUUGAGGUUUUGAAGCAUGUGGGGACUGUGGCUUAUAAGCUGGCAUUACCUCCCGAACUUUCAGCAGUACACAAUGUCUUUUAUGUCUCUAUGCUUCAAAAAUACAUAUCAGACCCUAGCCACAUGAUAAAUCCUAAAUCGUUAGACAUUCACCCAGAUCUAACUUAUGAGGAAACUCCAAUAGUCAUCUUGGAUAGGAAGUUUCAAACACUUCGAAAUAGAAAAAUUCCAUUGGUAAAAGUUCAGUGGAGAAAUCACGUAGUGAAAGAGUCUACUUGGGAACACGAGGCAGAUGUUAAAACUAAAUACCCCCAACUUUUCGAUAACCAAGGUAAAUUUCGAGAACGAAAUUUUUUUAAGGAGGGAAGGAUGUAAUACCCUAAAUAAAUAAAUCGUAAAUAUAUUAUGAGGCAUAAAAUGUAUGAAAUUAAAUUUUAAUAUUAUUUUGGAUAUAUAUUGAAUUAUUUGAUAAAAUGAAGCUUAAAUAAAUUAGUAUUUUAACAUAUUUAUACUAGAAUCUUAUCCUCAUGUAAUUAGGAUUUUAUGUGGUAAAUUUUUUUGUUAAGAAUCCUAUUUGAAUUCAAAUUAAGAUACUUUAUUAGAAAUCUAAAUAGGUAACUCAUCAUAAUCUAAUGACCAUUAUUUAAUAAUCUUGAGCCUUGCACUUAUUUCAUACUAAAUUACAGAAAGCAGAAAACGAGAGAGGAUGAAAGUAGUAGAUAGAGAAAGAACAGAGAGAAAGAGAGAGGCACAAGAGAAAACAUAAAGAAGAAAGCAAAAAAAAAAAAAAAGAAAGAAAGAAAAUUUUUCGACGUGUUCAAGAUCCGUUCGCAAGAAUUUUCAAUCUUAAAUAGUUCAAGUAUACAAGGAAUUUAUCGAAUUGGUAUGGAUUUCUCUAAAUGCCCUGUGACUUUUUGUUUUCACUUUUUAAUGUUUUAAGCUGAGUGUUUUAUGUGCUACUAUGUGAUUCAAAGUAAAGAAAAAUAUUAUGGAAAAUACCAUAGGGUAUUAUCAUGUAGAUUUACAAGGAAAUCAGCUACAUGGCUAAAUACCCUAAGUGGAGAAUGAGAAUGGAUUUGACCUAAGUGAGAAUGAGACGAUAAAGUUUAUAUCCCAUUAGAAAGUUAUGUUAUGUGCGUAUUUUACUUACUUUUUAUAUCAAACUGUGAAAAUACUGGCAUGAAAUCUAUACUGAGUAUAUUCAUAUACUCACUCCAUAUUCUAAAUUAUUUUUACAGAUACUUGGUAGAUCGGAGUUGGAAGUUGAGACUGUUGAUAGAGUCCGUGUUGUUGGAUCAAGAAUUUAAGAUUUUUCUUUUCAUAUUUAG